rnacentral:rRNA from 1 species
UACGUAGGGGGCGAGCGUUGUCCGGAAUUAUUGGGCGUAAAGAGCACGUAGGCGGUUUUCCAAGUCAGGUGUGAAAACCCGGGGCUCAACUCCGGGAGUGCAUAUGAAACUGGAAGGCUUGAGGACAGGAGAGGAGAGUGGAAUUCCUAGUGUAGCGGUGAAAUGCGUAGAUAUUAGGAGGAACACCAGUGGCGAAGGCGACUCUCUGGCCUGUAACUGACGCUGAGGUGCGAAAGCUAGGGGAGCGAACGGG